rnacentral:lncRNA from 1 species
GGAGAACUGAGCUCUAUUCCAGGCUCCAUUAUCUUGGCCAAUCUAUUUCAUUUCAACCCCACCUCCUACUCCCAGAACUUAGUUAUUCUAUCUGUAAAAUCAAAGAUUUGAACUAGCUGAUCCCUGAAGUCUUCUCACACUUCCCAAAUCUGUGACUGUGGGAAGGUGAGAGAGUCAAUGAGUUGAGUACAAGAUUUCUCUAGAGAGUUCUCCAAAGCUGGGAUGGACUGACUACCUCUCAAGAGGGCUUGAGGUCAUUAAUUUAGAGUUGGAAGGACUCUGAGAGUUAGUCUAGUCCAACCCCUCAUUUUAUAGAUGAGGAAACAGAAGCCCAGAGAAGUUACAAAGCUUGCCAAGGUCACAUAAGUGGUAAAUCAGCCACACCAGAAUUUGAAUGUAGGUCUGCAUUCUUCUACAUUCUUCUUCUGGAUUGUAAUUUUUGUACUUGAAAAGCAUUCAGACCUGCCAGUUGUUACCAACUAGCUUCUUAUUUCAGGAAUCUAGGCAAGUCGCUUAAUGUCUUUCAGGCUUAGUUUCUUUAUCUCUAAAAUGGGAUUAAUAAUAGCACUGACUUCCACAGUUGUGUGGAUCAAAUGAGAUAAACUGUACUUUGUACACAUGAAGACUCUAUAUACCUGCUAACUAUUACUUUGUUGUAGUUUAGUUAUUUCAGUCAUGUCUGACUCUUUUUGAUCUCAUUUCAGGUUUUCUCAGCAAAGAUACAGCGGUACUUUGUCAUUGCCUUCUCCAGAUCAUUUUACAGAGGAGGAAACUGAGGCAAAUGGUGUUAUGGGAUUUGUCUAGAGUUACACAGCUGAUCCAAGACAAGAAAACCACUUCCCAGGAAUAUUGAAGAAGGGAUUUCUUUUUCAGGGCAUACCAGAAGUGGUCAGUAACUGCCUUGGGGAAGAAGCACACAGGAAUCGCAUAGUUCAAGAGGAGAGUUCCUAGCUACCUGUUGCCUAUAUCUCCUCCUUUCUGCACAUGUUCAAGGUCAGAUAUUUGAAGAUGAACUUUCUUGACCAAAGAGACCACAGUAGAUAAGGUAGCCAUGAAGUAUCCUGGAGGAACACAAAGAAACUUUCUGCACUCACUGUCAAGGUCCUAGAGGAGAAUAAGUAGACAAUGUCAAGUCCAAACCACAGCUAACCUAUCAGA